rnacentral:tRNA from 1 species
GCUGGUUGUCUGAGUUCGGUUAAGGCUCGGGUCAAGCCCGAGGUCUUGGGUUCAAAACCCAGUUUCAACA